rnacentral:snRNA from 3 species
GAUCAAAGUGUAGUAUCUGUUCUUAUCAGCUUAAUAUCUGAUACGUCCCCCAUCGGGGGACUUCGAUAUUAAACUGAUUUUUGGAACUCGGUGAAGAUUCAGGGGCUUGCUCCGACUUUGCCACGGGUUGGC